rnacentral:rRNA from 1 species
CACGUAGGGCGCAAGCGUUGUCCGGAAUUAUUGGGCGUAAAGAGCUCGUAGGCGGUCUGUUGCGUCCGCUGUGAAAACUCGGGGCUUAACCCCGAGCCUGCAGUGGAUACGGGCAGACUAGAGGUAGGUAGGGGAGAAUGGAAUUCCCGGUGUAGCGGUGAAAUGCGCAGAUAUCGGGAGGAACACCAGUGGCGAAGGCGGCGACCUGGACGGACAUUGACGCUGAGACGCGAAAGCGUGGGGAGCAAACAGG